rnacentral:rRNA from 1 species
UACAGAGGUCCCAAGCGUUGUUCGGAUUCACUGGGCGUAAAGGGUGCGUAGGUGGUCGAGUAAGUCUGAUGUGAAAUCUUCGAGCUCAACCCGAAAAUGGCAUUGGAUACUAUUCGGCUGGAGGGUUGGAAGGGGGACUGGAAUUCUCGGUGUAGCAGUGAAAUGCGUAGAUAUCUGGAGGAAUACCGGUGGCGAAGGCGGCAUCCUGGACCAUUACUGACGCUGAGGCGCGAAAGCUAGGGGAGCAAACGGG